rnacentral:lncRNA from 1 species
CUGGUUCCAUAGAACUACGUACGGCUUGAUCCCCUAUAAAUAUAGGGGUACGUAGGCACAUUGGGGGAUCAUGAGUUGAGAGCACGUGAGACCAACUCAAAACCCUAAUCUCAGCCACCCCCUAAAACAAACAACCACCACUCUCCGGCGACCAAAACCACCGUCACGGAUCUUGAUUCCGGCCGUGAACCUCAUCUUUGUUGAUUACCAAAUUCCUCUAUCAAC